rnacentral:rRNA from 1 species
UACGUAGGGUGCGAGCGUUAAUCGGAAUUACUGGGCGUAAAGCGUGCGCAGGCGGUCGUGUAAGACAGGUGUGAAAUCCCCGGGCUUAACCUGGGAACUGCAUUUGUGACUGCACGGCUGGAGUGCGGCAGAGGGGGAUGGAAUUCCGCGUGUAGCAGUGAAAUGCGUAGAUAUGCGGAGGAACACCGAUGGCGAAGGCAAUUCCCUGGGCCUGCACUGACGCUCAUGCACGAAAGCGUGGGGAGCAAACAGG